GAUGAACGCUAGCGGCAGGCCUAAUACAUGCAAGUCGAACGAUACCAGAGAGCUUGCUUUCUGGGAAAGUGGCGCACGGGUGCGUAACGCGUAUGCAACCUACCUUACUCAGGGGGAGAGCAUCUCGAAAGAGAGAUUAACACCGCAUAACAUCAUUUUACGGCAUCGUAGAAUGAUCAAAUAUUUAUAGGAUUAAGAUGGGCAUGCGUGACAUUAGCUAGUUGGUGAGGUAACGGCUCACCAAGGCUACGAUGUCUAGGGGAUCUGAGAGGAUGACCCCCCACACUGGUACUGAGACACGGACCAGACUCCUACGGGAGGCAGCAGUAAGGAAUAUUGGUCAAUGGAGGCAACUCUGAACCAGCCAUGCCGCGUGCAGGAAGCCGGCCCUAUGGGUUGUAAACUGCUUUUAUACGGGAAUAAACCUCUCUACGUGUAGGGAGUUGAAUGUACUGUAAGAAUAAGGAUCGGCUAACUCCGUGCCAGCCGCCGCCGUAA
rnacentral:rRNA from 1 species